CGCGUGCUCUCCCUUUAGAAGUAGUUGCCGGCAUUGUGACUUGUCAGUUAUCUCCUGUAUCAGCCACUUGCCCGCCUUAAAGCAAAAGCCACUGACGUGUAAGUAUAAAAUAUUAAUAACUGAUCACUCGUCGACCCGAAAUGGGAGCUUCAGAUGUGCCUUUUACUUAACAAAUGAAAUGAGGCGGAUUUGGGGCACGCAGAGGCUUUUCACCUAACCCCCCCAAACAAAAUUUCACCAACCCCAUAUUCCUUUUGGACAUUGCACGGCCACCAUUAUUCUGCUCAAAUUGGGCUUCACUAACAAGGGGGCCCUCCGCAGCCCCUCUCUCUCCGAGAGCCUGUCACAUCAGGGCUCUAAGAGAAGCGCCCAGACCUGACAAAGCCGACGAAUGGAAUUGGCGACCUGCGCCUUCUGAUUGGAGUCCCGCGUACCAGCUGACCUCCGCUGGCUCUGCCACAAAAACCGGAGAGACGUGGAGACGGACGCCACUGGAAUUCUAACCGGCGCGCCCGGGAGGACACUGGAACUGAGCCGCCGCAGCAGCCGCACCAUGAAAAUCGGUGCAAAACUGGGGAGCCGUACAAGAAAAGGUGAACUGAAUUGAGCCCAACAGCCUCUCCCAAGCAUUCUUUUGAAUCUCUAACUUCCAGUUUAAGCGUCGAAGCAGCCAUGGAUCCUAAGAGCCAGUCCUCACCUCAGAAGCAGACGGUGAAAAACCGAUCCAGAUCUACGGACGAAAUCCAGCAGGCAAAGAAGGCCUUUCACACUCCUCAAAAGUCGCUUCCGGGAAACAGAGAAUUGGAUCAGCUGAAGGAGUCCACUGAUCUCGCCGAAAAGUCUCCUACAUCCGAGGAGCUGUCCAAGGGGGCCGCCUGAGUGGAGAUGCUCUGCCCUUCUGGAUGCUUCAAACCGCCUUUGGAAAUUUAUUUUUUAUUCUUUUCUGACAUAAAAAACGAUGUGUACACACAUUUGUCUGCUGCACUGCCACUGCUCUGUAAAUGCCAGAGGGGGAAUACAAGAAGCUGGGAAGAGGCGGACCACCCUGAUGUUCUCCUUUUAUUUUUAAUCGUUUUUUCAUUCAAAUGGGUUACAUUUUAAUUGUUAAAAUGUACAUGUCCUUUUCAGUUCUCCUUAAUGUGCAGUGGUUGGGGGUAAUGGUGUGGUGUAGCCGAUCCUGGCGGCACUGGACGCAAGUCAGGAAACGGCCAUGGAUGGGCCACCCAUCCUUCACAGGGCCCACUCAUGCAGACCCUCAUAUAGGAGCCAGUUUAUUACAUGUGACAUGCAUGCCUUUGGAGCUAUAGGAGGAGAAUGGGCAGACCCCACAUGGGCAGCAAGCCGCCUUGGGAUUUGAACCCGGAAUGAUGGAGCUGUGUGGAAGAAGUGUCUGCCACUGUGCCACUCUUGAAACAUAACAUGAUGACUUGUCAAAAAACAAAGCAGUGCCGCAUUUUAAAUGCACAGACCCUCGAGUCAGCGUAGUGUAAGAUGGGCUUUAGAUGACUUACACCUUCAGUUAAAUGAAGGACGCGUUUCUGUCUGGACAGUUCAUUUCACAGUCAAGCUCAAUCUAAAGCACUGAGACAAUGAAGGCCUCAAGAUUGUUUGUGCAGGUGUUAUCACGUAUUCAUUGUGUGACCCCGACUGAGUGUCCUAAUCUGCUGCUUUAUGGAAAUACUAGCUGUGCUACCCAUCUACAGUAACAUGGGGGGAAAUCUAAGUAAUCAACUUAGACCUCAAUGUUAAUGUUUGCAGUGCUCCACCUAUUGGAAUUUAUUUCGUAAUGCAUGUAGUAAUAAAAUGCAUUGCAUUUUUUCCAACAGAUGGUGAAUCACAAACAUUUCUAGUAAUAGAAUGCAUUAUGACAAAUCUUUAUAAUGUGGCAUCUGUUAGAAUGCAUAUGUCUCUGUUAUAUGCCAUUCGGUAAGGGAUUUGCUAAAAGCAGUGUUAAUGUUUGUGAUGCACC